UAAACUAGGAUUAGAUACCCUAUUAUUAUAAGAGUAAAUUUGGAUUCCUGAGAAGUAUUAGUAUAUUCUUGAAAUUUAAAGAAUUUGGCGGUGUUUUAGUCUAUUCAGAGGAACCUGUCCUGUAAUUGAUAAUCCACGAUUAAUUGAACUUUUUCUUUAAGUUUGUAUAUCGUCGUUAUUUGAACAUCUUUAGAGGGGAAAAUGUUCAAGAGUUUUGAAUUGAACAUAAAUCAGAUCAAGGUGCAGUUUAUGGAAAAGGAGAGAUGGGUUACAAUGAAGAUAUUUAUAUGGUUUAUAUAGUGAGAUUUUUAUAAUAAAAAGGAUUUGAUAGUAAAGAGAAUAAUUUAAUUUUCUUGAUUUUAGCUCUAGGAUAUGCACAUAUCGCCCGUCGCUCCCAUCACAAGGUGGGAUAAGUCGUAACAAAGUAGGUGUACCGGAAGGUGUACCUGGAAAGACAAAUUAGAGCUUGGUAAAAGUAUUUUAUUUACAUUAAAAAGUUGACUGUGGAAUUCAGUUUAAUUUGAUUAUUAAAUUAUUAUUAGUAUAGUUUUAUAAAAAAGAAUUGUUUGUUUAAGUAAAUGUAUUGAAAGAAUGGUAAUAAUUAUAGUUUAUUAGUACAGUGAUGGGAUAUUUUAAUAUUAUAGAAGAAUAUUUUAUUUAUGGUACCUUGUGUAUCAGGGUUUAUUAAAAAAGGGUUUUAAAUAAGAAUUUCUCGAAUUUAAGAGGGCUAGGAAAGUUUAUAUUUUAAUGUGGUAUAAUUAUUUAGAAUACUUUUCUUGUAACGAAAUAUUAGUCGUUCUUUAAUAUAUCUAGUUUUUUAAGAAAUUAAUUUAAUUAAGCUGGCUUGGGAAUUUAUUUGAUUAUAAAAUUUAUUUUGGGGCCAAGUAAUGUUUAAAGGGAUAAGCUUUUAAACAAAUUUUUAAAACAUUGUUUUGGUUUAAGAUGAAAUAGGAAUAGAAGUUUUCAUUUUAGGGAGUGAGUUGUAUCAGGAUUUUAAUUAAGGCGAUUUAUAUUUGUUUAGAUUUUUUAUUAAGAAGGAAAAUUAAAUUUUAGUUUUUUCGGUAUAAUGAUAUAAUUAGUAUAAUUUUUGUUUAAGUAUUUGUUAAUGAACGAUUAGAUUAAGGAACUCGGCAAAUUGGUUCUCUGCCUGUUUAUUAAAAACAUCGCCUCUUGUUAAUAAUUUGAGGUCUGGCCUGCCCAAUGAUAUGUUUAAUGGCCGCGGUACUCUGACCGUGCAAAGGUAGCAUAAUCAUUAGUUUUUUAAUUGAAAGCUGGAAUGAACGGUCGGACGAGGGAACAGCUGUCUUUAUUUAAUAAUUAGAAUUUUAUUUUUUAGUAAGAGAGCUAAAAUGAUUUUGAGGGACGAGAAGACCCUAUAGAAUUUUAUAAAGCUUUUUAGGUUAAUUUUUUGGGUUUUUUAUAGUUGAUACUAGAAUAAUUUAUUUUGUUGGGGUGAUAGAAAAAUUUAAAGAACUUUUUUUUAAUUAUAUCACUUGUAUGUGAAUAUUUGAUCCAUGUUUUGUGAUUAAAAGAUUAAAUUACCUUAGGGAUAACAGCGUAAUUGGUUUGGAGAGUUCAUAUCGAUAAACUAGUUUGCGACCUCGAUGUUGGAUUAAAAUGAACUUAUGGUGUAGGGGCUAUAAGGUUAAGUCUGUUCGACUUUUAAAAUUUUACAUGAUCUGAGUUCAAAACCGGAGA
rnacentral:rRNA from 1 species